UACGUAGGUGGCAAGCGUUGUCCGGAUUUACUGGGGCGUAAAAGGAUGCGUAGGCGGACAUUUUAAGUCAGAUGUGAAAAUACCCCGAGCUUAACUUGGGUGCUGCAUUUGAAACUGGGUGUCUAGAGUGCAGGAGAGGUAAGUGGAAUUCCUAGUGUAGCGGUGAAAAUGCGUAGAGAUUAGGAAGAACACCAGUGGCGAAGGCGCUUA
rnacentral:rRNA from 1 species